GUGGUGUGAUCGCACGUGAACGGUGAAGUUCGAGCCCAGAGUGCCCUGCCAAGUACCCUGCUGCCAGCCGCCGUUGCCGCUCUGAAGAAGACUAUAACGACUCAUGACUCAUGAGUCACUGCCAGGACCUAUCUGCAAGCCACACUGACGCUAGUUAACUCCCCCACAUUCCCAUGUGUCUGGAAGCCAGUCUAGGCGGAGACAGCAACAAGUUGCCAGGGAAGAAGUGGAGAAGUGACAUGCAGAAAAGCCCGAUGUCCUGGCCCGUCUGAAAACCAACGUCGGACGUCCAGCAACAGGAGUCUGUCGUCACCAUGUCCUCAGUCUACAACUCAUCAGAUUCUAAGUUUUCAUUUCUUGUUUACUUUCUCUAAGGGGUUUUGUUUUUCUUAAAAAAAAAAGGGUGUCAAGUUAUAUCUUUUGAUAGUUAAAAUUAAAAAGGGAAACAGAAAGAGGGUAGAGAAGUUUUGUUUAAGGGAAUUUAGUAGAUAUCUCUCAGCUGGUCGUUUUUUUUAAAUAUGAAAAUGUAUUGCGACCAAUUGUCCUGCGUGCCUGAAGAGUUGAACUAAUUCAUUUGUGUUAUAGGUGUACGGGUCUCCAUGACUGAGCCAUUUGCAGGAUCGUUCAACGCCGUUGGAACACGAGGGACUCGCCGAAGUUCUCAACUCCGCUGGACCACGAGGGACUCACCGAAGCCUUCAACGCCGCUGGACAACGAGAGACUCACCGAAGCUUUCAACACCGCUGGACAACGAGAGACUCACCGAAGCUUUCAACACCGCUGGACAACGAGGGACCCACCGAAGCUUUCAACACCGCUGGACAACGAGGGACCCACCGAAGCUUUCAACACCGCUGGACAACGAGGGACUCACCGAAGCCGCAAACACCGUUGGAGCAAGCUCGACACGUCGAAGCUCUAGACACCGCCGAAGGAAGAUCUUCAAGUUGAAGAAGACCGAAGAUAUUGCGUAAUUUAGUUAAGUUUUGCAUUUUGAAAAUAAACAUUUGAUUUUG